rnacentral:rRNA from 1 species
AUGGUGUACUCCUUAAUCAUUUCCCCGGUCGUGACACAAAAUGGCAACGCAAAUGCUCACGACGGGCACCGCCGGGUACAGACGGAGGGUCUCCGUGAGCGCGGCGUGGAGGUAGUGCAUGCUGCCGAUGGCGUCUUCAGUCAGGCGCGCCACGAACUCUUGCACGCCGCCCACGUCCUGGUGGUCGCCGGUGGUGGCCUCCCGCACCUCCCGCGCGAUCUUGUCCUGGAUGCGCUGGUCUCUGCACAGCACGUAGAGGAACCACGACAGCGUCCCCGCCGUGGUGUCGCGGCCGGCGAUCACGAAGUUGAGUAUGAUGUCCCGUAG